GGGCGCCACUGAUACGCCCUCCUCUGAAGGGCCAGAGACGGUCCAGUGCCCUGAGUCUCCAGCUCCUCUCACCCUACAGGAGAGCAGAGAACCCAACGAGAGUCUGUUGGCAGGUUUGGACUUGGUGGAGAGAGAGAACUUCUUAGAUGUUCACCUCACCAGGAACAGACCUCCACCUGCACGGAGGCAGCGGUCCGGAGUAAGUCAGAGAACGUCCUUCAGGAGAGCAGACUCCCCGUCGCCCAGUCCUGUCCCAUCGCUGUACAGACAGGACGUGGGAGUGGCAGAGUG